UACGAAGGGGGCUAGCGUUGCUCGGAAUCACUGGGCGUAAAGCGCACGUAGGCGGCUUCUCAAGUCAGGGGUGAAAUCCUGGAGCUCAACUCCAGAACUGCCUUUGAUACUGGCGACCUUGAGUCCGGGAGAGGUGAGUGGAACUGCGAGUGUAGAGGUGAAAUUCGUAGAUAUUCGCAAGAACACCAGUGGCGAAGGCGGCUCACUGGCCCGGUACUGACGCUGAGGUGCGAAAGCGUGGGGAGCAAACAGG
rnacentral:rRNA from 1 species